GCAGUCGUAUAGGUAUAGGUUAGCGCUUCCUUGCUUGCAUCCUUUCCUCUCUUUCUUAUAAUGAAAUAGAUAUAGAUGUCUCGACUGCCGAAUCCUUAUCCUGCAAACAACUCGAUUCUGUUGAUUCACUGUCCAUUUGUCCUUCAACCGGAUUAAUGGUCAACGACUUUGACAGCCUUUCCUUCACACAAGGUUUUUAAUACUUCUCCCCCGCUUAGGACAGAAAGGGGAAGUAGCGAGAUUACGAUUCCUUCGUGGGAAAUCAACGAAGGCAGUCGCUCCAGCAGCUUUAGUAC